UGGGCUUCUUGGGCUUCACAGUAGGCAGCUUCAAGGGUUUCUUCGCCUCACCACCAACCUUUGGUGGUCGUCCUGGUCGCUUCUGUGCAGCCGGUGAAACUCCUCCAGAACCCACCGCUAAUGUAGCACCAGUAGGCAUCCCAACAGAAACAGUUGCUACAAUCCCACCAACUGCCACAGGUUGAGCAACUCCAGCCACCACAUCCUUAGGCUUUGGAGGCCUUCCACGUGGCCUCCCAGACCCCUUCACCACACCAGCAGCUGCAACCGUCUUCUUUGGCUGUCCUCGAGCAGUCAUUCCAGUCACAACAGCAGAAGAAGAAGAAUCCCUCUUGGGCCUCCCUCUGGGCCUCUGAAUACCACGUGGCUGAGCCCCCAAACUCUUUGGUGGACGACCACGUCCCUUCUUUAGCCCACCUUGGUUCGGCACACCCAGCUUAGGCGGACGACCGUGGACUUUUUUCUUUACAUCUCCAGCACCAGAAUCAUCACCAUUUACAGACCCAACUGGAACGUACACACUCCCUGGCCCAAUUGCCCUGUUCAAUUCAGUCCCGGGAACAACAAUUGGCACAGCCUGCUGCGUUUCAGGAGCAAAAACAGGUAUAACAUUCGGCACAGCAGCUUGAGCAUUCUUGGGUGGACGACCAGGCCGUCUUUUGGGCCCAACAGUAGCAGGACCAGAAAUGGAAUUACCAUUUACAUUGGCAGUAACAGAUACGGUAGUAGAUCUAGGAAGCUUGUAAGAGUUCUUUACCAUGAGAACCUGGCCACUGUUCUUCAACCGUUUCAGAUGCUUAGUCAACAGCGACGAAUGAGUGGGUGGCAGGUUCGAGUACUGAGUUUCUAUGUACUUAGCUAUAGCCCUUUUGCUCGACCCAUUUCUCUCCUUCAAAGCCCUAAUUGCCGCCUUUAUCAUCUACCCAAACGACAAAAAUGAAACAGCUAAAUUAAACACAAAGACUUGCAAAUUAAGAAAAAUUAAACAAAAGGCGGUUUCCAGUUAAUCGUACCUCAGCAUAAGGUGGAUGGUUGACGGCGGGAGCUUUAAUUGGAGUUGGGUUCGCUGCAGGAGCGAUGUGGGCUUCACCAGUCGAGUCAAUAGUUGGAGGUGGUGGAUCCAUUGAUGGCUCCAUGCAUAUACAUGAAAAAAGAAAAUUAUCUGUACGACUGUAUGUAUAUGUAGAGACAGAAAUUGAAAAGUGAUAGGGAAGAGGCAGAGGAGGGGACUAUUUGGAUUGGGAUGAGUGAGGUGAGUGUAUUUAUCUGCCAUUUGUUUAAUGGGAGUUUGUUGCAUUUAUUGCAAUGUUUUUUGAAAAUCGAGUCGAAUUUGAAGGGUUUAAAUCUUUUAAUUAGGUUUUGAAAUUUCAAAAUGCUCUUAUCAUCGUAGUUGCGUUGAUUAUGAAUAUUUUUCAGGCUCCUAUGUGGACUCCAUUUUAAUAAAAGAAUAUUUUUUUUUUUAUUUUUAAUCAUAUAUUUUUCAAUAAAAUAAUAUUAUAUAUAAAUUUAAAACUUUUCAUUUUGUCAAAUCAUACAUUCUCCCAAAAAAAAUUACUAUUUCAAAUAUAUUUUUUCCAAAAUUUAAUAUUAGUGGUCGGGCUCUAUUCUAUUAGCUUAAUUGAGCAAAUUCUCCAACAGUUUUUUAUUCGUUUAAAGAAAAUUUAAAAUGCUAUUCAACUUCUAUUUGAACAUCAAUUUCUAAAAAUCAUUUUUCUUAAAUUCAUUUUAAAUUACACAUUUUUCAAUAAGUAAUUCUACACGUGAAUUCGUAACUUUUCAACUACACAUUUUUUUUAAUUUUUAUUAAAAACUACUAAGUAUCAAAUAUUUAAUUAAACAAAAAAGAGGCUCAAUGUUAUAACAAAAUCAUUCAUGUAAUGCAAAAGUGAACGAAAAAUAACAUGUGGCUUUUAUUUCAAUCCAUUAUCUUAAAUAGUUAAGUCAUUUGUACAUAAAAAAUGUGCAUCACUUUUGACAUCAUCCAAAUUGACAUGAUUUGAUUGGCGAAUUUUUAUUUUUAUUUUUAAAUUGUUCGAUGAUAUGUUGCCACAUGGCACAAUAUAAAAGUGGUGUGCAUUUAGUAUGAUUGUAUCUUAAAUUUUCAAUUUUUAGGCUUAUUAAAACAAAAUAUCCCUACAUUUGACCGUUAGUGUGUUAAACGUCUUUACAUUUCAAAUUUGCAUUUUUACCCCAAUUUCCAUGUUUCAUUGGGAAAAAAUCCUUUUCAUCAACUUUUAUUGAAGUUUUCAAUUAAAAUUUAUCAAAUGACAAAUAUAUCUUCAUAUCCAAAUAAAACAAGAGAGAAAGGAAAAUAAAGAACAAAUUGUAAUCAUACUUCCAUUUUUUUAAAAAGUACAAAUAAAUCUCAAAUAAAUUAAAUUACAAAAUCAAAAAAGAAAAGAAAAAUCAUCUUAUUCUUUUUCCCUCUCGCACCCCCACCCCUAACACUCACUACAAAACGAAACCAGAAAUAGAAACCCCGAUGAAUGCUAAUACUAGAACAACUCCCAACUGCUACCAAACCCAUAGCCAUUACCACCUUCGCCACCAUUUUCUUCUCCAAAAUUCCUUCCAUUUUAUUUCAACAAACAAGAAAAACAUUUUUGAUGGGUUGUACAUAGUGUGUUGGCAUUGACCUUUCCCAUGCAGAAAAUGUUCGGUUGAGUCCAAAGAUGGGUUCGAUAAUAGGGUGACUAGAGGUACAUCAAAGCUUGGAAAUGCGAAGAGGAAGAUCGUGGUGAAGAUGAUAAUUAAGAGGUGGUCGCUUCUGUGCAGCCGGUGAAACUCCUCCAGAACCCACCGCUAAUGUAGCACCAGUAGGCAUCCCAACAGAAACAGUUGCCACAAUCCCACCAACUACCACAGGUUGAGCAACUCCAGCCACCACAUCCUUAGGCUUUGGAGGCCUUCCACGUGGCCUCCCAGACCCUUUCACCAUACCAGCAGCUGCAACCGUCUUCUUUGGCUGUCCUCGAGCAGUCAUUCCAGUCACAACAGCAGAAGAAGAAGAAUCCCUCUUGGGCCUUCCUCUGGGCCUCUGAACACCACGUGGCUGAGCCCCCAAACUCUUUGGUGGACGACCACGUCCCUUCUUUAGCCCACCUUGGUUCGCCACACCCAGCUUAGGCGGACGACCGUGGACUUUUUUCUUUACAUCUCCAGCACCAGAAUCAUCACCAUUUACAGACCCAACUGGAACGUACACACUCCCUGGCCCAAUUGCCCUGUUCAAUUCAGUCCCGGGAACAACAAUUGGCACAGCCUGCUGCGUUUCAGGAGCAAAAACAGGUAUAACAUUCGGCACAGCAGCUUGAGCAUUCUUGGGUGGACGACCAGGCCGUC
rnacentral:lncRNA from 1 species